rnacentral:rRNA from 1 species
AGCUCCAAUAGCAUAUAUUAAAGUUGCUGCAGUUAAAAAGCUCGUAGUUGGAUCUCGGGUGCCCGAAAGGGUUGAAUGCACACCGGCGGUCGUGCUCACGCGCGUACUGCUGGUGGCAGCCCACCUGAGUCGAUUUGCCGGGUUUACUCUUUAUGGGUGACUCGGUGACGUGUCAAAGCGCGAGCCUGGUGCCCUUAACCGGGUGCCGGGUGAGGUCGAUAAUUUUACCUUGAGUAAAUUAGAGUGUUCAAAGCAAGGUUGCUCGAAUAGUUGUGCAUGGAAUAAUGGAACAGGUCUCAGCGCCUUUCCGUUGGUCAGUGGUAGUCAGAGAAAUGAUUAACAGGGACUGCCGGGAGCAUCGGUAUGGCGGGGGGAGAGGUGAAAUUCUUGGAUCCUCGCCAGACCAACAAUAGCGAAAGCAUUUGCCAAGAAUGUCUUCA